rnacentral:rRNA from 1 species
UGCCAGCCGCCGCGGUAAUACGGAGGGUGCAAGCGUUAAUCGGAAUUACUGGGCGUAAAGCGCACGUAGGUGGCUUGGUAAGUCGGAUGUGAAAGCCCUGGGCUCAACCUGGGAAUUGCAUUCGAUACUGCUUAGCUAGAGUAUGAGAGAGGGUAGUGGAAUUUCCGGUGUAGCGGUGAAAUGCGUAGAUAUCGGAAGGAACAUCAGUGGCGAAGGCGGCUUCCUGGACUAAUACUGACACUGAGGUGCGAAAGCGUGGGUAGCAAACAGGAUUAGAUA